UCCAUGUGACUGACUCUGUGUGUUUGCAUAUGUGUCCUGCCUCUCUGCUCCCAGCUGUUAAGAGGUCAGUGUUGAUCAGUGGCUGUCCAGGCCUUUCAGAGCCACUGACACACCAGCAGCACAAUGAUGAUGUCACUGACUCUACUGCUGACCACCCUGGGGCUCCUGGUUCACGGUUCAUCAGGAGACAUAAUCAUGACUCAGACUCCAGCAUCUCUUUCUGUUGUUCCAGGACAGACUGUCUCCAUCACAUGUAAAGCCAGUCAAUAUGUCAACGAUGAGGUAGACUGGUACCUUCAGAGACCUGGAGAAGCUAUUAAACUCCUGAUCUAUUGGACAUCAAAUCGUCAGUCUGGAGUUUCUGAUCGUUUCAGUGGAAGUCAGUCUGGAUCUGAUUUCACUCUGACCAUCAGCAGAGUUCAGGCUGAAGAUGCAGGAGUUUAUCACUGUCAGCAGGAUUACAGCAGACCGUUCACACAGUGAUACAACGUCGUACAAAAACCUCCCUCAGCUGCAGAGGAACUGAUCCACAGCUGCACUGAAGCAGAAGUUGUGCAAAUGGGGAACACAACUGCAGUUUAUUACAAAUAUCUCACUAAGUUGUAAUUGUUAUUAUUAUUAUUAUUACUUGCAAAGAUAAAAAAAAAACAAAAAAAAACAUAUGGCUGGAUAGACCUUGAUAAGCCUUUUAUUGCAGUUCAUCACUUUUAACUGAGCAUUAUUAAACCCUUUUUCAAAGUUUUUACUCAGAAAAUAUGAAAUAAAUUUGCUGAGUAUAAGAAACAACAUACUUUCUCUUUGAAACAAUUAAUUGCUAUAAAAACAAUGUUAUAUGGUUAACAAGCAAGCAUCAACAUGAUAUAAUUCAGCAGUUAUUUAGUCAAAUUCACUGAAAUAUUGUAGAAAACGUUAAAAUAUGAGAACAGUGAUGCAGAAAUUUAAACAUCAAGAAAACCAAGAGUUUUGGACUUUUAAAGGAAAUCAGAGUCCUCCUCAAAUUGUAUAU